rnacentral:rRNA from 1 species
UACGUAGGGGGCGAGCGUUGUCCGGAUUUACUGGGCGUAAAGCGCGUGUAGGCGGCUUCUUAAGUCGGGUGUGAAAGCCCCGGGCUUAACCUGGGAACUGCGUUUGAUACGGAUGGGCUAGAGUUCGGGAUAGGAGAGUGGAAUUCCCAGUGUAGAGGUGAAAUUCGUAGAUAUUGGGAAGAACACCGGUGGCGAAGGCGGCUCUCUGGACCGAGACUGACGCUGAGGCGCGAAAGCGUGGGGAGCAAACAGG